GGGUAUGUCGGGCGUGUCCAUCCCGACCGACCGAACCCCGAGGUUCGAUGGCCGACUUACAUGAUGCUCGCCGACCAAUGGAGGGACCCGACACCACUUAUCUGGCUACCGACUUUGGGUCGGUCGGCUCCUCCAACCGCCGUACAGCCGCCAGACGUUGUCAGCUCUGACACGGACAUGCGGCGCAGUUACCUAGGGGCAUUGUCCCGCCGAGAGCCGGGUCAACCCUGGUGAU
rnacentral:lncRNA from 1 species